rnacentral:rRNA from 1 species
GACGUAGGGUCCGAGCGUUGUCCGGAGUUACUGGGCGUAAAGGGCGCGUAGGCGGCUUCUUGCGUCCCACGUGAAAGCCCCUGGCUCAACCAGGGAGGGUCGUGGGAAACGGGGAAGCUGGAGGCAGCGAGAGGCUGGUGGAAUUCCCGGAGUAGUGGUGAAAUGCGUAGAGAUCGGCAGGAACACCCAGGGGGAAACCAGCCGACUGGGCAUCUACUGACGCUGAUGUGCGAGAGCGUGGGGAGCGAACCGG